rnacentral:rRNA from 1 species
UACGGGGGGUGCGAGCGUUGUCCGGAAUCACUGGGCGUAAAGGGCGCGUAGGUGGUCUGAUAAGGGUGUGGUGAAAGCCCGGGGCUCAACCCCGGGUCGGCCGUGCCGACUGUUAGACUAGAGUACUGUAGGGGCAGGCGGAGUUCCGGGUGUAGCGGUGGAAUGCGUAGAGAUCCGGAGGAAGACCGGUGGCGAAGGCGGCCUGCUGGGCAGUUACUGACACUGAGGCGCGACAGCGUGGGGAGCAAACAGG